rnacentral:rRNA from 1 species
AGUGAACGCUGGCGGUAGGCCUAACACGUGCAAGUCGAACGGCAGCACAGUAAGAGCUUGCUCUUACGGGUGGCGAGUGGCGGACGGGUAAGGAAUACAUCGGAAUCUACUUUUUCGUGGGGGAUAACGUAGGGAAACUUACGCUAAUACCGCAUACGACCUACGGGUGAAAGCAGGGGAUCUUCGGACCUUGCGCGAUUGAAUGAGCCGAUGUCGGAUUAGCUAGUUGGCGGGGUAAAGGCCCACCAAGGCGACGAUCCGUAGCUGGUCUGAGAGGAUGAUCAGCCACACUGGAACUGAGACACGGUCCAGACUCCUACGGGAGGCAGCAGUGGGGAAUAUUGGACAAAGGGCGCAAGCCUGAUCCAGCCAUACCGCGUGGGUGAAGAAGGCCUUCGGGUUGUAAAGCCCUUUUGUUGGGAAAGAAAAGCAGCAGGUUAAUACCCCGCUGUUCUGACGGUACCCAAAGAAUAAGCACCGGCUAACUUCGUG